CAGCACCUCAAGUGGUCAGGAUGAUUAUUGGGCCUAAAGCAUCCGUAGCCUGCUUUGUUAGUUUUCGGUUAAAUCCAUACGCUUAACGUAUGGGCUGCCGGGAAUACUGCAAAGCUAGGGAGUGGGAGAGGUAGACGGUACUCGGUAGGAAGGGGUAAAAUCCUUUGAUCUAUUGAUGACCACCUGUGGCGAAGACGGUCUACCAGAACACGUCCGACGGUGAGGGAUGAAAGCUGGGGGAGCAAACCGGAUUAGAUACCCGAGUAGUCC
rnacentral:rRNA from 1 species